AUUGAACGCUGGCGGCGUGCCUAACACAUGCAAGUCGAGCGGUAACGCGGGGGCAACCCUGGCGACGAGCGGCGAACGGGUGCGGAAUGCAUGGGAAUCUGCCUGAUAGUGGGGAAUAACCCGGGGAAACUCGGGCUAAUGCCGCAUACGACCUGAGGGUGAAAGCGGGGGACCGUAAGGCCUCGCGCUAUCAGAUGAGCCCAUGUCGGAUUAGCUAGUUGGUAGGGUAACGGCCUACCAAGGCGACGAUCCGUAGCUGGUCUGAGAGGACGGCCAGCCACACUGGGACUGAGACACGGCCCAGACUCCUACGGGAGGCAGCAGUGGGGAAUAUUGGACAAUGGGGGAAACCCUGAUCCAGCGACGCCGCGUGUGUGAAGAAGGCCUGCGGGUUGUAAAGCACUUUCGGUGGGAACGAAAUAUGCCGGGCCGAAUACCCCGGUACGGCUGACGUUACCCAACUGAAGAAGCACCGGCUAACUCUGUGCCAGCAGCCGCGGUAAAGUCGAUA
rnacentral:rRNA from 1 species